rnacentral:rRNA from 1 species
GAAAGAUGAAAAGAACUUUGAAAAGAGAGUUAAACAGUACGUGAAAUUGUUGAAAGGGAAACGAUUAAAGUCAGUCGUACCUACGAGUAAUCAACCUACUCGAGUGCGAUUUUGUGGGUAUGUUAGAGCUUAAAAACCUUCAUGCUUACAAAUUGGUGCUCUUUGGGCGUACUUUCUCGUAUGGUAGGUUAACAUCAAUUUCGAUCGUUAUAAAAUGACUGGAGGAAUGUAGCUUCGAUCUCGGUUGAAGUGUUAUA